AAUGAACGCUGGCGGCAUGCCUAACACAUGCAAGUCGAACGAGACCAUCGGGCCUAUUGGCGCAUGGCUGCGUAACGCGUGGGAACCUGCCCUUAGGUUCGGAAUAACUCCCCGAAAGGGGUGCUAAUAUCGGAUCAGGUCUUCGGACCGAAGAUCUAUCGCCUUUGGAUGGGCCCGCGUUGGAUUCGCUUGUUAGUAGGGUAAAAGCCUACCAAGGGGACGAUUCAUAGCUGGUCUGAGAGGAAGAUCCGCCACACCGGGGGUAGGAUGCGGCCGGGACUCCUGCGGAAGGCGGGAAAGCCGGAUGUUGGACAGUGGGCGGAAGGCUGAAGCACCACUGCCGCGAAAGUGAUGUAAGCCUUGAGGAUGUAAAGCUCUUUUACCCAGGAUCAUAAUGACGGUACCGGGAGAAUAAGCACCGGCUAACUACGUG
rnacentral:rRNA from 1 species